rnacentral:rRNA from 1 species
AUGAACGCUAGCUACAGGCUUAACACAUGCAAGUCGAGGGGCAGCAUGGUCUUAGCUUGCUAAGGCCGAUGGCGACCGGCGCACGGGUGAGUAACACGUAUCCAACCUGCCGUCUACUCUUGGACAGCCUUCUGAAAGGAAGAUUAAUACAAGAUGGCAUCAUGAGUCCGCAUGUUCACAUGAUUAAAGGUAUUCCGGUAGACGAUGGGGAUGCGUUCCAUUAGAUAGUAGGCGGGGUAACGGCCCACCUAGUCUUCGAUGGAUAGGGGUUCUGAGAGGAAGGUCCCCCACAUUGGAACUGAGACACGGUCCAAACUCCUACGGGAGGCAGCAGUGAGGAAUAUUGGUCAAUGGGCGAGAGCCUGAACCAGCCAAGUAGCGUGAAGGAUGACUGCCCUAUGGGUUGUAAACUUCUUUUAUAAAGGAAUAAAGUCGGGUAUGGAUACCCGUUUGCAUGUACUUUAUGAAUAAGGAUCGGCUAACUCCGUGCCAGCAGCCGCGGUAAUACGGAGGAUUCGAGCGUUAUCCGGAUUUAUUGGGUUUAAAGGGAGCGUAGAUGGAUGUUUAAGUCAGUUGUGAAAGUUUGCGGCUCAACCGUAAAAUUGCAGUUGAUACUGGAUAUCUUGAGUGCAGUUGAGGCAGGCGGAAUUCGUGGUGUAGCGGUGAAAUGCUUAGAUAUCACGAAGAACUCCGAUUGCGAAGGCAGCCUGCUAAGCUGCAACUGACAUUGAGGCUCGAAAGUGUGGGUAUCAAACAGGAUUAGAUACCAUGGUAGUCCACACGGUAAACGAUGAAUACUCGCUGUUUGCGAUAUACGGCAAGCGGCCAAGCGAAAGCGUUAAGUAUUCCACCUGGGGAGUACGCCGGCAACGGUGAAACUCAAAGGAAUUGACGGGGGCCCGCACAAGCGGAGGAACAUGUGGUUUAAUUCGAUGAUACGCGAGGAACCUUACCCGGGCUUAAAUUGCAGAUGAAUUACGGUGAAAGCCGUAAGCCGCAAGGCAUCUGUGAAGGUGCUGCAUGGUUGUCGUCAGCUCGUGCCGUGAGGUGUCGGCUUAAGUGCCAUAACGAGCGCAACCCUUGUUGUCAGUUACUAACAGGUUCUGCUGAGGACUCUGACAAGACUGCCAUCGUAAGAUGUGAGGAAGGUGGGGAUGACGUCAAAUCAGCACGGCCCUUACGUCCGGGGCUACACACGUGUUACAAUGGGGGGUACAGAGGGCCGCUACCACGCGAGUGGAUGCCAAUCCCCAAAACCUCUCUCAGUUCGGACUGGAGUCUGCAACCCGACUCCACGAAGCUGGAUUCGCUAGUAAUCGCGCAUCAGCCACGGCGCGGUGAAUACGUUCCCGGGCCUUGUACACACCGCCCGUCAAGCCAUGGGAGCCGGGGGUACCUGAAGUGCGUAACCGCGAGGAGCGCCCUAGGGUAAAACUGGUGACUGGGGCU